GAGACAGCAGUCGCCACGGUAAUGCGAAGGGUGCAAGCGUUACUCGGAAUUACUGGGCGUAAAGCGUGCGUAGGUGGUGGUUUAAGUCCGUUGUGAAAGCCCUGGGCUCAACCUGGGAAUUGCAGUGGAUACUGGGUCACUAGAGUGUGGUAGAGGAUAGUGGAAUUUCCGGUGUAGCUGUGAAAUGCGUAGAGAUCGGAAGGAACAUCUGUGGCGAAGGCGACUAUCUGGGCCAACACUGACACUGAGGCACGAAAGCGUGGGGAGCAAACAGGAUUAGAUACCCCUGUAGUCCCUGUCUCUUAUAC
rnacentral:rRNA from 1 species